UCUAAGACGUGCCUGGACUCGAAGGACUGGCUUUAAAUGGACAACCGCCUUAGGACGGAAUCACUUGGGGCUAUAUAAUACAGAUUGCUAUUGACGGUACCGUAAGAAUAAGCCCCGGCUAACUACGUGCCAGCAGCCGCGGUAAUACGUAGGGUGCAAGCGUUAAUCGGAAUUACUGGGCGUAAAGCGUGCGCAGGCGGUCAUGUAAGACAGACGUGAAAUCCCCGGGCUCAACCUGGGAAUGGCUUUUGUAACUGCAAGGUUGAAUUCCGGAAAAGGGGGAUGAAAUCCCUGUUGUACCAUUAAAAUGCUUAAAUUUUCGGAGAACCCCCGAUGGCAAAGGCAAUCCCCUGGGCCUGAACUGACGCUCAUGGCACAAAACCUUGGGAAGCAAACAGGAUUAAAUACCCUGGAAGCCCACCCCCUAACCAAUAUCACUUGGUGGUGGGGUAUCUACUUACUCCGCAACAAACCCUAAAGCGUGAAGUUGACGCCUGGGGAGUACAGCCGCAAAGUCAAA
rnacentral:rRNA from 1 species